UUUAAGUUGCGAAAAAACCGACUAAGGAUUUGUCUUGUAAUGAAGCUUUUUGAGUAAUAAAUUUCGUGUUCUAUAUGAGGUCUUUUUGGGACAUAUUAUAUAUCAAAUUUAAGGUCUUGGAAUGUAGUUUCCAACUCUCUUAACCGUUUGCUCAUACGACACCCGGAUAAAAAGUUAUAAGCAUUGGAAGACGAGCCAAUUAUAGGGUGCCAAGUAGCACCUUUUGACUUUUCAACAAAAUGGAGAUUAUCUCCUUUAUCUCGUCUCUUUCUGCAUAUUUCCAGAGAGCACGACCAAAUAAUACCCCUAACAUCACCCUUAAGCUCUCUACAAGGGUUUCAAAUAAUACCAUCAUCCCGGGCACGAAAUCACGAAGCAAUAACACAAGAACGAUCCCCACGACAUUGAGUUGAGUUGUUUGAAGAGUUGCUUAAGAUGUAUUAAGGACUCACCAUGGUUAAGGUCCCAAUUGAUAGGUUGACAUUCCUCCUAGUAGGCUAUCAG